rnacentral:lncRNA from 1 species
CUUGAGAUGGAGCCUCGCUCUGUUGCCCAGGCUGGAGUGCAGUGAUGUGGCUCCAGUGGCUCACUGGAGCCUCAAACUCCUGGGCUCAAGUGAUCCUCCCACCUCAGCCUCCCUAGUAGCUGGGAUUACAGGCAUGCACCACCAUGCCCAGCUAAUCUUUUUUCUUUUUCUUUUUUUCCUUUAUUUAUUUAUUUAUUUAUUGAGAAGGAGUCUCGCUCUGUCGCCCAGGCUGGAGUGCAGUGGCGCGAUCUCGGCUCACUGCAAACUCCGCCUCCCGGGUUCACGCCAUUCUCCUGCCUCAGCCUCCCGAGUAGCUGGGACUACAGGCGCUCGCCACCACACCCGGCUAAUUUUUUGUAUUUUUAGUAGAGACGGGGUUUCACCGUGUUAGCCAGGAUGGUCUCCAUGUCCUGACCUCGUGAUCCGCCCGCCUCGGCCUCCCAAAGUGCUGGGAUUACAGGCGUGAGCCACCGCGCCCGGCCCCGGCUCCUGCUCCUCUAAAUAUUAGAGGCAAGCCUCGAACCGGAGCUCCGGGAUGCAUGCCAAUCUCCGGUUGCGCCUGCGCGUCGGGCUCCCGUGGGGUCCACGCAUUUCCUACCCGGCCCCCGCGAACAGGCGUAAAGCUCUUUC